UUGACGGAAGGGCACCACCAGGAGUGGAGCCUGCGGCUUAAUUUGACUCAACACGGGGAAACUCACCAGGUCCAGACACAAUAAGGAUUGACAGAUUGAGAGCUCUUUCUUGAUUUUGUGGGUGGUGGUGCAUGGCCGUUCUUAGUUGGUGGAGUGAUUUGUCUGCUUAAUUGCGAUAACGAACGAGACCUUAGCUUUUAUUUGCGCAAGCUAACCUUAUGUUGGUUUUGGGCUAUAAAAGGACUAUCGAAUUCAAGUCGAUGGAAGUUUGAGGCAAUAACAGGUCUGUGAUGCCCUUAGACGUUCUGGGCCGCACGCGCGCUACACUGACGGAGCCAGCGAGUUUACCUUAGC
rnacentral:ncRNA from 1 species